UACAGGGGGUGCAAACGUUGCUCGGAAUCAUUGGGCGUAAAGCGCACGUAGGCGGUCUGUUAUGUCGGAUGUGAAAGCCCUUGGCUCAACUGAGGAAGUGCAUCCGAAACUGGCAGGCUAGAGUACUAAAGAGGGUCGCGGAAUUCCCGGUGUAGAGGUGAAAUUCGUAGAUAUCGGAAGGAACGCCGGUGGCGAAAGCGGCGUGCUGGAUCUCUUCUGACGCUGAGGCGCGAAAGCCAGGGGAGCAAACGGG
rnacentral:rRNA from 1 species